rnacentral:rRNA from 1 species
CCUACGGGGUGCAGCAGUGAGGAAUAUUGGUCAAUGGACGCAAGUCUGAACCAGCCAUGCCGCGUGCAGGAAGAAGGCUCUAUGAGUUGUAAACUGCUUUUGUACGAGGGUAAACGCAGAUACGCGUAUCUGUCUGAAAGUAUCGUACGAAUAAGGAUCGGCUAACUCCGUGCCAGCAGCCGAGGUAAUCCGGAGGAUUCAAGCGUUAUCCGGAUUUAUUGGGUUUAAAGGGUGCGUAGGCGGUCGGAGAAGUUUGAGGUGAAAUCCCGGGGCUCAACUUCGGAAUUGCCUCUGAUACGGUGCGGCUAGAGAGUAGGUGAGGUAGGCGGAAUGUAUGGUGUAGCGGUGAAAUGCGUAGAGAUCAUACAGAACACCGAUUGCGAAGGCAGCUUACCAAGCUACUUCUGACGUUGAGGCACGAAAGCGUGGGGAGCAAACAGGAUUAGAUACCCGAGUAGUC